AGAGUUUGAUCCUGGCUCAGGAUGAACGCUGGCGGCGUGCCUAACACAUGCAAGUCGAACGAAGCGCUUUUCCCGAAUUUUCGGAGGAGGGGAGAGUGACUGAGUGGCGGACGGGUGAGUAACGCGUGGGGAACCUGCCCUGUACCGGGGGAUAACAGCCGGAAACGGCUGCUAAUACCGCAUAAGCGCACAGUGCCGCAUGGCACGGUGUGAAAAACCACGGUGGUACAGGAUGGCCCCGCGUCUGAUUAGUUGGUUGGCAGGGUAACGGCCUACCAAGACGGCGAUCAGUAGCCGGCCUGAGAGGGUGAACGGCCACACUGGGACUGAGGCACGGCCCAGACUCCUGCGGGAGGCAGCAGUGGGGAAUAUUGCACAAUGGGGGAAACCCUGAUGCAGCGACGCCGCGUGAGCGAGGAAGUAUUUCGGUAUGUAAAGCUCUGUCAGCAGGGAAGAAGAAUGACGGUACCUGAAGAAGAAGCACCGGCUAAAUACGUG
rnacentral:rRNA from 1 species